rnacentral:snRNA from 1 species
GUACUCGCUUCGGCGGUACAUAUACUAAAAUUGGAACGAUACAGAGAAGAUUAGCAUGGCCCCUGUGCAAUUAAAAUGUAGUUGUCAUUUUAUAGAUCCAUUUCAUAAAUUAUU